GACAGAGGGUGCAAACGUUGUUCGGAUUACUGGGCGUAAGCGCGUGUAGGCGGCUUUGCAAGUCGGAUGUGAAAUCCCACGGCUCAACCGUGGAAGUGCAUCCGAAACUGCAUCGCUUGAGUCUCGGAGAGGAAGGUGGAAUGCUUGGUGUAGAGGUGAAAUUCGUAGAUAUCAAGCAGAACACCUGCGGCGAAGGCGGCCUCUGGACGAUGACUGACGCUGAGACGCGAAAGCGUGGGGAGCAAACAGG
rnacentral:rRNA from 1 species